GAUGAACGCUGGCGGCGUGCUUAACACAUGCAAGUCGAACGAAGAUGCCGGAGUGCUUGCACUUUGGCAGACUGAGUGGCGGACGGGUGAGUAACGCGUGGGUAACCUGCCUUAUACAGGGGGAUAACAGUUGGAAACGACUGCUAAUACCGCAUAAGCGCACGGUAUCGCAUGAUACAGUGUGAAAAACUCCGGUGGUAUAAGAUGGACCCGCGUCUGAUUAGCUUGUUGGUGAGGUAACGGCCCACCAAGGCGACGAUCAGUAGCCGGCCUGAGAGGGUGAACGGCCACAUUGGGACUGAGACACGGCCCAAACUCCUACGGGAGGCAGCAGUGGGGAAUAUUGCACAAUGGGGGAAACCCUGAUGCAGCGACGCCGCGUGAGUGAUGAAGUAUUUCGGUAUGUAAAACUCUAUCAGCAGGGAAGAUAAUGACGGUACCUGACUAAGAAGCACCGGCUAAAUACGUG
rnacentral:rRNA from 2 species